rnacentral:rRNA from 1 species
GACGAACGCUGGCGGCGUGCUUAACACAUGCAAGUCGAGCGGUAAGGCCCGUUUCGGGGGUACACGAGCGGCGAACGGGUGAGUAACACGUGGGUGACCUGCCCUCAGCUCUGGGAUAAGCCUAGGGGAAACCGGGUACUAAUACCGGAUAUGACUCCAUGACGCAUGUUGUGGGGUGGAAAGCCUUGUGCGGCUGAGGAUGGGCCCGCGGCCUAUCAGCUUGUUGGUGGGGUGAUGGCCUACCAAGGCGACGACGGGUAGCCGGCCUGAGAGGGCGACCGGCCACACGUGGGACUGAGACACGGCCCAGACUCCUACGGGAGGCAGCAGGUGGGGAAUCUUGCGCAAGUGGGCGAAAGCCUG